UAUUAAGAUAGUUAAAGUAUAACUGAACUUUGAAGAGGUUUUAUUGAAGUGUUAAAUUCCUUCUCUUAAUAA
rnacentral:tRNA from 1 species